CGGGAGGCUAGUCCCGCCCGCCCUGCGCCCCGGCGCUCUAUUAAGGUCGAUUGGAGUUAAGUCUGCCUGGGGUCUUUGGCCACCUCAAGGGCGCGUUAGCAAACUGGGGCCCUGACCCCGGCCGGGCGGCCUUCCACGCGCCCUCCCCGAAAUUGUUUCGCGAGUUGGCAGUGUUGUUUAAACUGCAGUUGGCAAGAUGAGUUUAGUGGGUCGUGACAAGCACUUUUUUUUUUUAAGUAACCUGCAGUGCGGAGUUGGCGUAUCCCCUGCUUGCCCCCGGUCCACCAAGUUCUAAAGGAAGUUAGUCGGGAGCUUCCCCGUCCGUUCAUUAGGACGGCGUUCAGCCCAGUUUUGUGCAGGGCCAGUACGGCCAGGCCUGGGGAGGGAGGGUGGUAGCCCGUUACGGCACCGGGGCCCUCGGCAGGCGGGCGGGAAGGGACCUAGAGGCCCGCGUGGGCUGAGCUAGGACAGGAGCGGGCAGCUGUGGAGCGCAGAAAUUAAAAGAACCGCACACGUGGGUAAACAAAUACAAGCUCUGAGGAGGGCCAGGAGCCAGGGAAGGUCUAAGCUGGGGCAGUUUCGCUCAGACAGGAAGGCUGAGAGGGAUGACCUGCUCAGCUUCCUUGCCUGGAAAUUGUACCUCUCUCCACCUUCCCGUGAGCCCCAAGGAUGGGCUGGCUGGUGUUUUCUGGGUACAACUGAGGCAACCAGCUGGCGCUGGUGCUCCUUAUGUGUUACCAGAACAAAUCCGUCCCCUCUCCCCCUGAGGAGGCCAUCCAUCCUGGCUGAGGAACCAGGUGGAGAAGCCAAGAUAAAAGUCACGCAGAGCCUGGAGGGUGGUGUUCGAGAGGCCAGAGAGGUCAGCCAAAGCCGCGCCUUGCAGAACAUGACCCACCUCGUCAUGAGAGAGGACGCUGCUGCUCCGGAACCGCACAAACUGGCCCAAGGAGAGAAGCCCCAGACAUGCAGUGAUUUGGCAUCUCCUUCAGUCAUAGUCAUUUCCUGUGCUUCUGCUGUGCUCAGCACUGGGCCUGGGACAGAGAUCUGAAGUCCACAAAACCCUACCUUCAAGGAGCUCAGAGUUGGUUGGUAGGGGUGGGGUUGUGUCAUGGAGAGUAGGAUAAAUGAGGCAGACUGGGAGACCCUGAGAGAGCUGGCCCUGCUGACCCCUUCAGUUCCCACCAGCACCACCACCUGCCCACCACCCCUUGGCCAUGCAUCUCACACUCAUGGCCAAAAUGGACUAUGUGUGGUUACACAAACACACCACCAUGUACUUGUGUACCAGCUAUUCUCACUUCACUACGUGGAAUAUGUUUCCUUUUCUGCCUAUUAAUCCUGCAAGCCUCAGCUAAAAUGUUACCUUCACUGCUAAUGUUCUUUCAUUUUAUUAAAGAAAUACAGGCAUUAAUUGAGUGCUUAUUACAUUCUCAUUCACUUCUCCCUCCCAGCUCUGGCAGAAGCAAUUACUCUUUUCUCAGUGUUCCCACACCAACCACUGAUUAAUUCAUUGAUCCACUUGACUAUCAUUCACAGGCUCACUGCUUUGUUGUUUAUUUAAUGGGCACUAACUGUGUGCCAAGCACUUAGCAUGUCUUCUACUGUACUCUACCACUAAUAACAUCAUAUUUUAACUAUUAGUUUCCUUGUCUAUCUUCUCUAGACUGAGGGCCCCUUAAAGGCAAAGCAUUUGGUUCAUCGACAUCUUUGGUACCUAGCAUAGGAUCUGGCAUAUAGUAGGCAGCCCUGGUCAAUGUUUCAUGAGUGAGUGAAUGAAAGAGAGUGUCCAGGUCUUCUGACGCAAGGAGAUGUGGGCAUUAGAGAAACUCUCUGAGCAGGCCUCUUGUAGAGUGAAGGCCUGCCGAGCCUCUCUACCUUCUUUGAGGAUUAGGGUUAGCUAAAGUAAGGUGUCCCUGGCCUCCUCAGGACCACCUAGCUCAUGACAUUUUUUUUUUUUUAAUAAUUUUAUUUAUUUUUUCCCCCAAAGUCCCAGUAAGUAGAUAGAUAGAUGUAUGUCAUAGCUGCACUUCCUUCUAGUUGCUGUAUGUGGGACGCAGCCUCAGCAUGGCCGGAGAAGCAGUGCGUCGGUGCGCGCCCGGGAUCCGAACCCGGGCCGCCAGCAGUGGAGCACGUGCACUUAACCACUAAGCAACAGGGCCGGCCCUCAUGACAUUCUUCAGACCACAAGACCAUCCUUUCUGUGCUUACCAGAGUCAUGAGCCUCAGGAUCUCAGGUCUAAGGAAGGAAUUCUCUCCAGCAUCCAGGAGGGUAAACAGCAAAAAUCGAUUCCAGGGCUGGGAGGCCACAUGGAGUGCUACGGGAAACAUCAGUCACCCUGGGUUGUUAAUGCUGUUUUUCCAAAGGCCUUGGGACAUUGCUAAAGAGGACUUUCUCCUAUUGGCUCAAAAAGGGGCUGCUCAGCUAGAGGCAGGGCAUUGGACAAGCUGACCCCAGGAGGUUUCUUUCUUUGGGCUUCUAUCCACCUAUGCUGCCUGGCUCAGGGAGACCACAUAUCCCACUAUUGUGGGAAGCAGGCAACAAGAAGGGCUCUGGCACUUAAGAGCUUUGUGACCUUGGCUGGGCAAGUUACUUGACCUUUGUGAACCUUAGUUCCUCAUCUGUAUAAUGGGCAUGACAAUGCCCUUGCAGUGUUGUUAAAAGAACUGAACAAAAUGAGUGUGAAUCACAGAACAGGGGAUGGAACUCUAGAGCAGGUGGGUGGCAGGGCCUGGCCCCCUCCAAUCUCCCCCAUGGGAACAUCAGAAAAUGGAGAGGCUUUCUACCGACAUCUGGGCUCCGGGCAUGCAGGUAGUCAAGCAAGGCCUCCAGGCAGCCAACACAGGCAUGGGACAACAGAGGGUCCUUCUGCAAACAAACAAACAAAACCCACAAAAGUUCAUGUUAGAUUUUGCUACCAAUGAGUUUUGCUGCCAACCAAGAAAAAACAUUUGGUUUUCAGAAUAAUUUGGAUUUUAGAAUUUUGGAUUUGAGAUUGUGGCCCAGUAUUUAAUCAAGAAACGUUUGUUGGUUUCAUCUCUCACCCACACACAGACCACAGUGCUUAUACUAGUGAUUUACCUACCUGCUUUGUUUCAGAAAGAGAGACGAGCCCUGGGCCCCACUAAGAGUUUCAGGGAUUACAGACUCUGUAAGAGCCUCACAGUUUAUCUGAGCCAGUGGAUUUCAACCUUUUUUUAAAGCAGCAGAGCCUUUCACUGAACAAAAUGUUAUGCUCUAAUAAGCAUAUCAAAAGAUCUCAUUAUUAUCAGUCAUUAGGAAAAUGCAAAUUAAAACCACCAUGAGAUACCACUACACACCCACCAAUAGCUAAAAUUAAAAAAUCUGAGAAUACCAAGUGUUGGCCAGAAUGUUGAGCAACUGGAACUCUCAUAUACUUCUGAUGGGAAGGUAAAAUGGUGUAACAACUUUGGAAAAUAGUUUGAUGGUUUCUUAUAAAGUUAAACAUACUUACCAUAUGUGAUAGGCAGAAUUUUAAGAUGGUCCCAUGACCUUUGCUCCCAGAUGUUACUCCUGUGAUUAUGUUACAUUUUACGGCAAAAAGGAGACUGUUUUGAGUGGGCCCAAUAUAAUCACACCAGCCCUUUAAAAGCAGAGUUUUCUCUGGCUGGAGGCAGAAGAACCAUUGAGACUGCAAGUGUGAGAAGGACUCAACGUGCACUGCUGAUUUGAAGAUGGAAGGGCCCAUGUGAAAAAGAAUGUGGGCAACCUUAAAGAGCUGAAAAGAGGCCCCUGAGGAGGAAGCUGAUUCUUUCCCAGAUGUCCAGAUAAGCACCUAGCCUAGCCAACACCUUGAUUACAGUCUUGUGAGACCCUAAGUGAAGAACCUGGUCCAGCCCACCCAGACUUCUGAUAUGGAGAAUUGUGAGAUAAUAAAUGGGUGUUGUGGGGGCUGGCCCCUUGGCAUAGUGGUUAAGUGCGCGUGCUCCGCUGCUGGCGGCCUGGGUUCAGAUCCCAGGCGCGCACCGACACACAGCUUGUCAGACCAUGCUGUGGCGGCGUCCCAUAUAAAGUGGAGGAAGAUGGGCAUGGAUGUUAGCUCAGGGCUAGUCUUCCUCAGCAAAAAGAGGAGGAUUGGCACAGAUGUUAGCUCAGGGCUGAUCUUCCUUACACACACACAAUGAAUAAAUAAAUAUUUAAAAAAAUAAAAAAUAAAAAAAAUAAAUGGGUGUUGUGCUAAGCCAUUAAGUUUGUGGUACCUUGUUACACAGUAAUAGAAAACUAAUAUGUCAUUUGACCCAGCAAUCCCACU